UAUCAUUUUUUAUUUUUUUCUCUUCUCAUUUCCAUCAUGCUUUCUAUUUAAUAUUUAAUAUAUUUUCAUUAUGCCAAAAAUGUAGCAUAUUGAAAUUUUUGUAAUUUACAUGCAAAUUAUGAAUAUUUUUUGUGUCAGAAUUUGACGUUUGUUUAUAUUUUUGUUGUUGUGGUGUUUUGUUGCUCAAUUCUGUUGGCAUUUAUCAUAAUUGUCUUUGUCGGCGGACCGGGCGCUUGAUAAAUGCCCGACAAAUCGGGAGAACAUGGGUUUCAUAAGAAUGCAUUCGGUAUCUGCCAGAUACGAAACACUCUUGGGGAUUUUAGCAUUGAAAGCUGAAGAUUUUCGCAUUGCUCUGAAGGACGCCGACAACGUUGAUUUGAUUUGGCAUUUCUUCGCUAUCGUAUCUAUAUCUAAAGUAUCUCUCCGUAUCUAUGCAUCAGUGGCAGAUUAUCUGAGUAUCUGUGUACCCCGAAGUGCAUCUGUAUGGCCUGUCGCUGGCGCUCGUUUCGUAUUCGCAUUCGCAAUCCCCCUUCUCUCUAGCCCAUCGAUGUUUUUUUGAAGUUCACAUUUUUAUUUUUGGCAGACAAGGAAUCUCUAUGUUUGCACUAGUUCAUAGAUCAUUUCUUGAUAGAUUUGGGUCUAUAGCUUGUCCUUUGUUAACCAAGAUCUAGUUCGAUCUACCUAUCGAUCGGUAGUGUUUUUUAUUGAUCUAUUUCCCAUGGACAGGCCGAACGAACAGCUGUUGGUAUCGUUGGAACUGCUGGCCAGCCACUGAACUGAUCGCAUCGACGGGGGGCUUAUCGUGCGAUCGUAAAGUGAUCACCGAUUAGAAGGAAGAAGCGCAGCACCCACUACUGCUACCUUCUCUUUCGUCUCCCACCCCUCCUCCCCCGAUCUGGUGGGAGAUCAAAUUGGCAUUGAGGUGACCAAAAACCAAAACCAGAACAAAAAGCGAAAAAUGAUCACCGAGAAAAACAAAUAAAGAACCCCCACACUACACACAUGUGUGUCUGUGUAUAAAUGAUAUGUGAAACAAG
rnacentral:lncRNA from 1 species